CCACAACAUUCUCUAAUCUUAGAAUCUCUUGUAAGAAAUUCCCAGUCUUUGUAACAGGACAAAUUGCUUUUCGUAUCUCUGAAACUCUGGAAUUAUCUGACUGGGAAGAAGAUGAGAAGAUGAUUAAGUCCUCAGAAGAACACAAUAUGGGAAGAUAGGCUGCCUACUCUGAUGGAAAGUAAACCAUGAAAAGAGAGGGUUAACUAGAGGAACAGAACUAUUGUUCAACAAGGUAUGGCCUGGCCUGGACUGGACUCAAAGACAACCCAAAACUUAUACUUGUAUGCCAGACCAUUAAAGAUAUGCAAAAUCGAGUGUCUAAUCCAAAGCUGAGCCCUUGGAUUUUUGAAGGAACUUGUACCUCCUGCAUAUGCCAUUAUGAGCCAUUUAACAAGAAGACUGCUGGGUGUGAGGAAGGCCCAAAACAACAGAAGGCUCGGAAACAAGUACGGGCUGCUGUGAAAGCUG